rnacentral:rRNA from 1 species
GACGAACGCUGGCGGCGUGCUUAACACAUGCAAGUCGAACGAUGAAGAAGAGAAACGCGAACUUCGGUUCAAAUUUCACUUCGGAUUAGUGGCAGACGGGUGAGUAACGCGUGAGCAACCUACCUCUUACAAAGGGAUAGCCUCGGGAAACCGUGAUUAAUACCAUAUGACACAUUCAUAAGGCAUCUUAAGAAUGUUAAAGCUACGGCGUAACGAGAUGGUCUCGCUUCCCAUUAGCUAGUUGGUGAGGUAACGGCCCACCAAGGCGACGAUGCGUAACCGGCCUGAGAAGGGAAACGGUAACAUUGGAACUGAGACGCGGUGAAAACUCCUACGGGAGGCAGCAGUGGGGAAUAGUGCACCAUGGAGGGAACUCUGAUGAAGCGAAGCAGCGUGAGCGAUGAAGGAAUUCGUUUCGUAAAGCUCUGUUAUAUGGGAAGAAAAGAACUGUACCAUAGGAGAAAGCCCCGGCUAAAUACGUG